rnacentral:rRNA from 1 species
GUAGUCCACGCCGUAAACGAUGUCUGCUAGCCGUCGGGAUCCUUGAGGUCUCGGUGGCGCAGCUAACGCGAUAAGCAGACCGCCUGGGGAGUACGGCCGCAAGGUUAAAACUCAAAUGAAUUGACGGGGGCCCGCACAAGCGGUGGAGCAUGUGGUUUAAUUCGAUGCAACGCGAAGAACCUUACCAGGUCUUGACAUCCAGCGAACUGCCGAGAGAUCGGCGGGUGCCUUCGGGAGCGCUGAGACAGGUGCUGCAUGGCUGUCGUCAGCUCGUGUCGUGAGAUGUUGGGUUAAGUCCCGUAACGAGCGCAACCCUUAUUCUAUGUUGCCAGCGGAUAAUGCCGGGGACUCGUAGAAGACUGCCGAGGUAACUCGGAGGAAGGCGGGGAUGAGGUCAAGUCAUCAUGCCCCUUAUGUCCAGGGCUGCAAACACGCUACAAUGGCCGGUACAAAGGGCUGCGAACCCGCGAGGGUGAGCGAAUCCCAGAAAGCCGGUCUCAGUUCGGAUUGGAGGCUGCAACUCGCCUCCAUGAAGCUGGAGUUGCUAGUAAUCCCGGAUCAGCACGCCGGGGUGAAUA